rnacentral:rRNA from 1 species
CACGUAGGGUGCGAGCGUUGUCCGGAAUUAUUGGGCGUAAAGAGCUCGUAGGCGGUGUGUCGCGUCGGCCGUGAAAACCUGCAGCUUAACUGUGGGCUUGCGGUCGAUACGGGCAUCACUGGAGUUCGGCAGGGGAGACUGGAAUUCCUGGUGUAGCGGUGAAAUGCGCAGAUAUCAGGAGGAACACCGGUGGCGAAGGCGGGUCUCUGGACCGAAACUGACACUGAAGCGCGAAAGCUAGGGGAGCAAACGGG